UACGUAGGGGGCAAGCGUUGUCCGGAUUUAUUGGGCGUAAAGAGCGUGUAGGCGGCCAGACAGGUCAGCUGUGAAAACUGGAGGCUCAACCUUCAGACGUCGACCGAAACCAUCUGGCUAGAGUCCGGGAGAGGAGAGUGGAAUUCCUGGUGUAGCGGUGAAAUGCGCAGAUAUCAGGAAGAACACCCGUGGCGAAAGCGGCUCUCUGGAACGGUACUGACGCUGAGACGCGAAAGCGUGGGGAGCGAACAGG
rnacentral:rRNA from 1 species